UUGUGGAUAUAUAGAAAUUAUGUUUUCACUUCAACUUAAGGAAGUAAAAAUAAAUUUGUGAACUCUUGAGUUAGUUUCAGCUUAGGUUUUUGCGCUUUCAGAAUUAAUUUCUAAUUACUAUAUACUUGUUACAUACUCAUCAUAUUUUCUUUGUUAAAAAUUGAACCAAACUUUAGUAUUGAUAUCAAGUUUUUAUAGAAUUAUUGUGGAUAUAUAGAAAUUAUGUUUUCACUUCAACUUAAGAAAGUAAAAAUAAAUUUGUGAACUCUUGAGUUAGUUUCAGCUUAGGUUGAACAAAAAUAUUGUAUCCAUGAGAACCAAAUGAGAGUGAGCACAUAAAAUAAAACAAUAUUUGUAUCUUUUAUUCUAAGAAAAUGUCUCUAAUCAUAAAUAAUAUGUCUGUAAUGCAUUUCAUACUGAAUAAUGUAUUUGAAUUUAUUCUACAUAAUAAAUCAUGUGAAAACCA